UCUCACAUGGUGGUAUGCGCAGGCGCGGGUGGUUGGGCUGGGCAGUCCCUGCGCCGGCCAGAGAGGAUCUGAAGAUCUUGGAGGUGAGCCCUGACUCCCAGGCUCCCCUGUGAUCAGACCUCGUUGUGAAGUUUCACAGCACUUCAGAGGAGUUCAUUCCCUCCUGGUGGAGAUUUUUCUCUAUGACCCUCCAAAGCAAGCCUACUUGAAUUCUGAAGGCUCAUGCUCUAAACAAGAUGCCUCUGGCAGGAGGCCCCGGAAGAUGGAGUCUCCAGGUCCGGUGUGACUACAUUGUUCCUGACUUAGGAAGCUAAGACACAGAAUCACCCAGAAGCCUGAGAGCUUCCUGUUGGGUUACUCGUUUUACAAUCUAUAUUGAAAAGAGUUGACUAAUGUAACUAUCCCUUGAUAACAGGACAAGGGAUGUUUGCCCUUCACAGACAUAGGCUGACUGUCUGUGUGUCUCUUUCCAUUGUUUUUGAAGGGCCCCUUUCUCUCAAUAAAAACAACAAACACGUCACACAGA